rnacentral:tRNA from 4 species
UCCUCGAUAGCUCAGUGGUAGAGCGUUCGGCUGUUAACCGAAAUGUCGUAGGUUCGAGCCCUACUCGGGGAG